CCACGGGCGCACGGCGGAUGCCUUGGCACAGGGAGCCGAUGAAGGACGCGGCAAGCUGCGAUAAUCCCCGGCGAGGAGCACACAUCCUUCGACCCGGGGGUCUCCGAAUGGGCGAACCCAUGCACAGCGGUGUGCAUAUCCCCACCCCGAACACAUAGGGGCGGGGAGGACAACCCGGGGAACUGAAACAUCUAAGUACCCGGAGGAGAGGAAAUCAAUCUCGAGACUCCCCGAGUAGCGGCGAGCGAAAGGGGACCGAUGGCCAAACCGUCGAGCGGGCGUACCCGGCAGGGGUUCCGCCGACGGGGUUGCAGGGCCGCGCAUCCGGGGGCUGCCGCCCCCGGGCGCAGGUCCGGCUGGGGAGCGGAACGGCAUGGGAGGGCCGGCCGCAGCGGGUGAAAGCCCCGUACGCGAACCCAGACCGGACGGCGCGACGCGGUCCCUGAGUAGGGCCGGGCACGUGAAACCCGGUCCGAACCUGGGUGGACCACCAUCCAAGCCUGAGUACUACCCUGUGACCGAUAGCGCACCAGUACCGUGAGGGAAAGGUGAAAAGCACCCCGGGAGGGGAGUGAAACAGUACCUGAAACCGUGCGCCCACGAGCAGUCGGAGCACCUAUACGGUGUGACGGCGUGCCUUUUGUAGAAUGAGCCAGCGAGUCGCUGGCGCGGGGCGAGGUUAACCGAAAGGGAGCCGUAGCGAAAGCGAGCCUUAACAGGGCGACUUGAGUCCCGCGCCGCGGACGCGAAGCCGGGUGAGCUAUCCGUGGGCAGGCUGAAGCGGGGGUAAGACCCCGUGGAGGGCCGAACGCACGUCGGUUGAAAACGGCGGCGAUGACCUGCGGAUAGGGGUGAAAGGCCAAUCAAACCCGGAGAUAUCUCGUUCUCCCCGAAAUAGCUUUAGGGCUAGCGUCGCGCGUUCACCGCCGGAGGUAGAGCACCGGAUGGACGAGGGGGCUUCGCCGCCUACCGAAUCCAACCGAACUCCGAAUGCCGGCGGCCCAGAGCGCGGCAGUCAGAGCAUGUGGGCUAAGCUGUGUGCUCGAGAGGGAAACAGCCCGGACCGCCCGCUAAGGUCCCCAAGUUCCAGCCGAGUGGCAAAGGAUGUGCGUCCGCCCAGACAACCAGGAUGUUGGCUUAGAAGCAGCCAUCCAUUCAAAGAGUGCGUAACAGCUCACUGGUCGAGUGGACAUGCGCCGACAAUACACGGGGCUAAGCUGGACACCGAAGCGGCGGGAUUUUAUCUAUAUAGAAUCGGUAGGGGAGCUUCCCAUGGGCGGCGAAGCCGCCGGGCGACCGGCGGUGGAGCGCAUGGGAGUGAGAAUGCUGGCAUGAGUAGCGAGAGACGAGAGAGUAACUCGUCCGCCGUGAACCCGAGGUUUCCUGGGCAAGGCUAAUCCUCCCAGGGUCAGUCGGGGGCUAAGGCGAGGCCGGUAGGCGUAGCCGACGCGCAGCAGGCAGACAUUCCUGCACCGCGCACGCGGCGCUACGACCGACGGGGCGACGGAUGGGGGUGGCUCGGCGGGGUUCUGGACGUCCCCGUGAUGGAGCGCGGCCCGCGGACCAGGGAAAUCCGGUCCGCAUUGAGGGCGAGGCUCCGGACGAAGCGACUGAGCGAAGCGAGUGAGCCCGAGGUCCCUAGAAAAACCCCUAGGCAGGCGCGUGCGCGCCCGUACCGCAAACCGACACAGGUGGGUGGGUAGAACAUACCGAGGCGAUCGGGUCAACCAUGGUCAAGGAACUCGGCACAAUGGCCCCGUAACUUCGGGAGAAGGGGUGCCCGCGCGUACGUGAACCGGCUUGCCCGGGGAGCGGAGGCGGGCCGCAGUGGAGAGGCCCAAGCGACUGUUUACCAAAAACACAGGACUCUGCAGAAGCCGCAAGGCGACGUAUAGGGUCUGACGCCUGCCCGGUGCCGGAAGGUCACGCGGAGGAGUUAGCCGCAAGGCGAAGCCCCGAAGCCAAGCCCCGGUAAACGGCGGCCGUAACUAUAACGGUCCUAAGGUAGCGAAAUUCCUUGUCGGGUAAGUUCCGACCUGCACGAAAGGCGCAACGACUUGGGCGCUGUCUCGACCAUGGACCCGGUGAAAUUGCACUGGUCGUGAAGAUGCGACUUACCCGCGGAAGGACGGAAAGACCCCGUGAACCUUCACUGCAGCUUGGCAUUGGCCGCUGGUCCCGCGUGUAGAGGAUAGGCAGGAGGCACAGAUCCGGAGGCGCCAGCCCCCGGGGAGCCGCCCUUGGAAUACUGCCCUCGCGCGACCGGCGUCCUAACCCGAGGCCGUCAACCGGCUCGGGGACCGUGCCAGGCGGGCAGUUUGACUGGGGCGGUCGCCUCCUAAAGGGUAACGGAGGCGCGCGAAGGUCCGCUCGGGACGGUCGGCAACCGUCCUUUUGAAUGCAAGAGUACAAGCGGGCUUGACUGCGAGGCCCACAAGCCGAGCAGGUGCGAAAGCAGGCUCUAGUGAUCCGGCGGCCCCGAGUGGGUGGGCCGUCGCUCAACGGAUAAAAGGUACUCCGGGGAUAACAGGCUGAUCUUGCCCAAGAGUCCACAUCGACGGCAAGGUUUGGCACCUCGAUGUCGGCUCAUCGCAUCCUGGGGCUGUAGCAGGUCCCAAGGGUUGGGCUGUUCGCCCAUUAAAGCGGUACGCGAGCUGGGUUCAGAACGUCGUGAGACAGUUCGGUCCCUAUCCUCCGUGGGCGCAGGAGAAUCGAUGGAGGCUGCCCCCAGUACGAGAGGACCGGGGUGGACGCACCUCCGGUGAACCGGUUGUCGACCAACGGCACGGCCGGGUAGCCGCGUGCGGCGCGGAUAACCGCUGAAGGCAUCUAAGCGGGAAGCCGUUCCAGGGAUUAGUUCUCCUUCCGGUAAGGGCCCAGGUAGACUACCUGGUCGAUAGACGGCAGGUGCAAGGACGGCGACGUCCUCAGCCGAGCCGCACUAAUCGCCCGAGCUCUUCCGGA
rnacentral:rRNA from 1 species